rnacentral:rRNA from 1 species
UACGUAGGGUCCGAGCGUUGUCCGGAGUUAUUGGGCGUAAAGCGUCCGCAGGUGGCACUUCAAGUCUGUCGUCAAAGACUGGGGCUUAACCCUGGAAAGGCGGUGGAAACUGAAGCGCUAGAGUGCGGUAGGGGUAGAGGGAAUUCACGGUGUAGCGGUGAAAUGCGUAGAGAUCGGGAAGAACAUCGGUGGCGAAAGCGCUCUACUGGACCGCAACUGACACUCAGGGACGAAAGCUAGGGGAGCGAAUGGG